rnacentral:rRNA from 1 species
UACGUAGGUGGCAAGCGUUGUCCGGAUUUACUGGGUGUAAAGGGCGUGUAGCCGGGCUGACAAGUCAGAUGUGAAAUCCGGGGGCUCAACCCGCGAACUGCAUUUGAAACUGCUUCCCUUGAGUAUCGGAGAGGUAAUCGGAAUUCCUAGUGUAGCGGUGAAAUGCGUAGAUAUUAGGAGGAACACCAGUGGCGAAGGCGGCUUACUGGACGGCAACUGACGCUGAGGCUCGAAAGCGUGGGGAGCAAACAGG